rnacentral:rRNA from 1 species
UACGUAGGGUGCAAGCGUUAAUCGGAAUUACUGGGCGUAAAGCGUGCGCAGGCGGUUUUGUAAGUCUGACGUGAAAUCCCCGGGCUUAACCUGGGAAUUGCGUUGGAGACUGCAAGGCUGGAGUCUGGCAGAGGGGGGUAGAAUUCCACGUGUAGCAGUGAAAUGCGUAGAUAUCGGGAGGAAUACCGAUGGCGAAGGCAGGUCUCUGGGCUGACACUGACGCUCGAUGCACGAAAGCGUGGGGAGCAAACAGG